UGUCAUACCUCCUGUCUGGUCGCGCGUCGGGAACAAAAUGAGUUGGCGUCAGUACUUUAUAAAUGCUGGAAUCGCAGUUAUCCAGACAUUCUUGAAUCCAAGUCAGCGCCUACUGGACGUGAACUGGGAACAACUUACCCCCAGACUAAUAAUUUUCUUCUCGAAAAAGUUUGUUUGUUGAUUGUGAAAAUGAAGUUUCAGUACGUGUGCUUAAUUUUUGGUAUAAUUGUGUGUUCAAUUGUAAUGUGCGAGGCGUUACCGUUUAGAGCGGGAAAUAUUGAUUAUAUGGAGGCAAUUCGUCGUAUGCAGCAGAUUCCACAAUGGCACUGCAUGAGGUACAGGAAAUUUCAGUUGCAUGGUCACUGCAACCGCUGGCUCCUCAUGAGACGUACCUGAUACUCUGUGUCUUCGCCCAGGCAAUGGAGAUCAUGAAAACGGUCCUAAGCGUAGAAAGAACCAUUUGAAUUUCGAAUUGUAUCUUGUAAUCGGAAUUAGUCAAGGAGAUUUUAUUACGAUUUAAAUAAUAUUUAUUUAUUGAAUUUAGAAUUAUAUUUUUAUCGUUAGUAUGUCUUAUAUAAUAAAGGAGAUUGGGCAAGAAUGUAUGAAGUUUGGUCCAAAUGUCCACCACGAACGAGACCUAUAUAAUUAAAUAGUCCACUGAAUUUAGAGUAACUUUUACUAAGAAAGUAAAAAAAAACGCCAAAAAAAAGUUAUAGCCUAAAAUGUAUUCUUAAUUUUCGAUAGUUUUUGUAUGUUAUCAUUAUUAUUUUUUAUUUUACUUCACUUCCAUUUCCACACUUUAUCUAAAACUAAGAUGAGUAAGACACAUUUACAUUAAAACAGCCCAUAUUUUUUUGCCCGAUGGAUGUACGAAUCACUAACCAAUUGAGGCGCCAGAAGUGCUUGAGUAUACUCAGCGGUUCCUGUAUCUAAGAAAGUUCGAUGUAACUGGUGGUGCCUUCUCUCUAAUAAUGAAUAAUUCUAUAUUGUCAGAAGUUACAGAAAGUACGAAAAUCGAACAUAACGAAAAGUAAUUGAAAAAAUGAAAUUGAAGAAAUCUAUAAAAUGUUUUAUUUAAUUUUGCUAUAACUUUUUUUCUGGCAUUAUAUUUUUUUUUACUUUCAUAACAAAAAAUGUUCUAUAUUUAACGGGCUAUCUAGUCUCGUUCGUGGUGGACGUUUGGACCGGAAUCGCCCAUUGUCAUUUAAGAUAGGUACGAGUAUAUUUUGUAGAUUUGGAAAUUUUUUUAUGUAAAAAAAACUCUCUUGGUUUGUUUUUAUUUAGAAUUAUUGACUGACUUUAGGGACCUUCUUAAUUUCUUAGCGUUCUUGCAUAUUUAAAUAAAAUAUUAUGGAAAUAAGUUAUUUAAACUAGAUCUAGGAAUUUUACAAUUUAAACGAAUUCAAAGUGUAUUUUGAAAUGGAAUUCGCAAAAAGAUUUGCAAUUUAAAAAUUUUAAUUGAUUGUUUCAUAAUUAUAUUUUAUUUAAUGAGAUAAAAUUAGAUGCUUGUUAUCUCACCAAAGAUUUAAUGUGAGAGUAAUUUAAAUUAUCUGUAUCUAAAAAAUAUCAUCUGAUCUAAAAGUAAGCAAAUGCAUAGAUAUAUUCGUUUUGUUAUCAAAUGAGCCAUAAAUUGUUGUCUGUUCAAUCUUUUUUUGAAUUGAAUCUCUAUUCUUCAUUUAGUUGCAGAUCUAAUCAUAACUUGUGUAUGUUAUCAAAAUAGCUGUCUUUUGUUACAGCUGAGUUAAUUUCAUCACACUGUAGCCAAAAAUAGUUAUAAAAUAUUCGCACCAUUCUAUUCUGUGUAUGUUACGUCAGAGUUCAAAGUCUAGCUUUACGAUCACCGAUGACCGUUGCACCAUCGAUCCACCUGACCCAUGUAAUCUUAACCUUACUUACGUAAAAAAUGUUUCUUUUUUUUUUUAUUUUAGUUUUGUUUUUUCAGUAGAUAAGUUAUUUAGACAUGUAGUGUUUAUCCCAUUGGAUCCUAAAGAAUAUCCUACUUUCACUAGAUAUGAACAAUCGUUAACCUUUCGCAUCGUUACAAUUAAUUGGGAAAUAAUUAUAUGGACCAGUCUUACCUUCCUUACUUCCCUAAUAUUCAAAUUCAAUUCACCUUUACCCUUUUUUUGCCGGACUCAUAUUGAACACAUUCCAUCAAUCAUCAUCCAUAGUCCUCUUCAACUACACAUUAGUCACAAAAGUGAUAAAAAUAAAUAAAUCACAACUAUGCGCAUUUGUCACGCUUACGAAGUAUUUUUCUGUUUUUGCAACUGCCAAUUUCGUGGGAAAGUAUGUGAUUUUUAAGACCUAGUUAAGGCAGUUCCAGAAUCAUCAUACAUUACUCAUUCGCAUCUCGUCAUGUUACGUCAGAGAUCAAAGUCUAGCUCACGAUUAGCAAUGACCGUUGCACCAUCGUCACACGCAACCGGUGCGAUCCCAACCUUACUUGUUUAAGUACUUACUUAUAUUUGAACUUAUCAGUAUUAAUAAUUUUACGGUUAUAUCACAAAUUUUGCAAUUUCUAAUGUUAUUUCAUAAUUAUAAUCUUAGCAGAAUAAAAACAUUCAUAGAAAUGUAGAUUAUAAUUCUGUUAUUACAAUAAAGUUAUUGGUAGUAA